AUUUUUCUAAUAUGUAGUUAUUUUAAUAAAGUAUAUGCAUAGUUCACGGGUUUAGAGGUGGAGGGGAAGCAGGGAGUGGAUAAUUAUAUAAUUGCAGAUGUUGAAAACACAACUCACAACUGGAAUUAAGCUUUUCAAUUUGAAUAUUGUAGCCACAAAAUCCAUCUAUUGGAUCUAAUCACGAAUUCUGUUUGAUAUUCUUUCUUCACGAUGUGUACAGUAGUUAAACUCACCAUAGAAUAUGAUCUUCAGCCUGAGAAAAUUCAUGUUUUUC
rnacentral:lncRNA from 1 species